AUUGAAAAUUCUAUACAGAGCCUGAUAAAAAAGAAAACAAAGCCCUUAAUGAUGCCUGUAGUAUGGAAAGCAGGCAAAUGUCCACUCCUUUGAGUGCUUAUUCCUAAGUGGUGAGGCCUUUCAGAGCCAACCAAGUGACCCACAAUUACCCAGCACAGCAGAGCUGCACAUGGGCUUCCAUGUGAAUGCACUCAUCUGCACCAGAUACCUGCUGGCAUCAGCAGUCCUUACACACAGCAAAGGAGAGCAUCACACCAGCUUACACCACGCUCUGGGCCUGCAGGUACUGCUGCUUCUUUGUUAGGAAUAAAAAGGAUGAGACCAAAAUUGACCAGUUGCUUUUGGGUUUGACCUUCAUUAUCAAACAGGGAAUGCUGAGUUGCAUAGUGUGCACACUGCAGAAGAUGAGUUAUUUGAACAGAGGAUACCAGAGCCUUGACUGCACUGCGUUAGGGCAGUGACAGCACACAGGGAUAUGCCAGACCCAGAGCAUAGGCCAGGUGCAGAGGCUGCAUCAAAGCCCUGAGCAGCUCUGAUAUCCAUUUCCAGAGCUCUGGGCAGAGCGCGGAGAUGUUACGGCCAUUCGGACAGCUGCAAAUUAUUUGUUCAUUCAUUCAUUUUCCGUGGGCAAAAAUCCCAAAUCAACCCGGAAAGAAAACCCACCCUGGGACACCAGCCCAAGCUGUGGGUGUCAAGAUUCGCUGCUGCGGGAGCAGAAAGGCACUUUGUGCAGCCACACACCUCAUAAAGAGAGGACAGGAAAUUUCAUGGGAGCAAAGACAAUGGCCUAAUUUUUUCCUGCCAGUGUCAAAACAAUGCUCUCGAAGAGCCAGAAGCCAUGGUCUGUGAGAACUAAAUUGGUGGUCCCCAUCCGGUUGCUCUGGAAUAACAGCCCUGUCACCACAUGGCACAGAGCAGCAGUGCCAGCGCAGUCCCAUGAGCCACCAAAGGCUGUGCAAGGAGAAGUGGGAGUGGGGCUUCUGGCCCUGUAUUGCUGGGCAGGGCAAUGAUGGGGCAGGGACUGAGCAAGGAUGGCUGUCCCACUCCAGGGAAACCACAGCAAUGGUCAGAAACAGGAGUUUUUGGAAAUGAGGCAUUACCUCUAGGAACCACGGAGCUCAGCAAGUUGUAUCUCGCAUGGAAAGGAGCUGAUUAAAGCAGUAAGUUUGUUGCUGCUUGAUGACUGCAGCUCAAACCCUUCAAUAUCCCACUGCUGGUAGCCAGAGGCAGGAGUUCUGGCAGAACCAAGGCCCUGUGAGGUGACAAAUCUGAAUACCAGUGUGUUGGGACACCAAGCAAGUAGAGAAGUGAGUGAAAACAAAGGCUUUUAAGGCAAACUUAUCUUGUUCCCACCCUGUCUGGUAUGAAAGAAGCUAAAGACACAGGGCAAGUUUUCCUCAAAAUGUCACAUAUUUAGUUGAAUCAGUUUAAGGACAGAAGGUUCAGAAAUGAUAGGAAAACUCCACUCAGCCAACUCUAAAGUGUCCCAUCACUGCUGCUGUGAAGUCUCUCCUGGACCGACCAAAGCAAACUGGAUCUCAUGUUAUUCUGCUCCCUGUGCCCACCAGGGCCAUGCAGUGCCACACAGUGCCGCCGGCCGGCAGUGCACCAGCAUGGCAGUGGUGGCCAUACAGAAAUCAGGGUCCGAAUUUCCUGGCACAUGCAAAAACAAACCCAAAGAAUUGGAUCCCAAGGGACAGUUUUAAUGAAGUGGCGGCUCAACGCCACUCAGAAUACUACAAAAAAUCCCAGAAAGUAGCGUGCAAUUAUGCAUCUACAAACACCAUUUAGGCUGAUGACUCAAAAUAUUCAUUGAUUUGAAAUACAUUGCCUGAAUGCAUUUUGCAUAACAUUGGUGUAUAUUUGUGUGUAUAGUAUUUGUUAGACUUACAAAUACAUGGAGAAGGCACAGGUAUACGUAUCCACUUCUAGGAACGAAUGGCUAAGUGGCAGAGCCAUUCUUUCACAUGGGCAAAGCAAAGGUUUCACUGCUUUUAUUUCAUUUUAAUCUUAUACAAGUAAUGCUUUAGGAAAUGUUCAUUAUCACCAACGCUCUCAUCGUGGUCUCAAGUCUGUAAUGCCACGAAGGAAGCCUCCGCUGCACAGAACUGACUCUACCGGGUUGCUGAAGCUGAAGUUCCCUGAGUAUUCCUCUCCAUCAAAGACAUUAUGAGUAAUAAGAGUAGCUGCAAUUGUGGCUUUUUAGAAAGUGCUCUUAGCAGUGUGUUCUAGAAAGGCUAUUUUAAAGGUCACAUUGCUGAGCCCGUGGCGCGCUGCCUUGGCGAGGUGGUACGAAGUGAGUGCGUUUCAGCUGGCAUCUGGUUUAGACUAUAUUUUCAUCUGUGGAAAUUGAAAAAUUCUUGGAAGAACUCCACAGUCUACAAAAAAAAAAAAAAUGUUCUUCUUGAAAACAAGUUAUGAGUUAAUGAUAAUUCCACUCGGGGCAGGAAGGAAGGGCUUAGGCUGGACAGCCCCGGGUGGCUGGGAGGACGCUAACCACGGCCCCGCUCCCAUCCCAGCCCUGUGGAAUGGGAUGAGUGCCCCAUGCCAGGAGAUAGAUGGAUUAACCAUACCCCACAGAAGCGAACUGCUUUUAUAAGCACUGUGUAAUUCUGAAUAUGUGAAAACUUUCUGACUGGAGUUCAAAUCCAGCUUUUCCUCUAAUACAUCCCUAGAAGGAACUUCAAAUAUUAAAUCCUGAGAAAUGUAGACGAAACCACGUAAAAGCUGCAGACAUCCUAAAUAUGCACAAUGGGAUCCCUUAUGCUGAAGACACAGUGAAACAUUCAUAACCAUUACAGUAAAACCCAAAUUCUGACUUGUUCCUGCACUUAGCUAUGACUGGAUUACAAUUCUGGUUAAAGCAUCCAUCUGCCUAAAAAUAAACAUUUGUAAUGACCUUAAUGAGCUACGGAGUGAUCCUGUGUGGAAGUCUCUUCAUGGGAAAAAAACAUGUCACUCUUUGGAAGGACCUGCUGCAACUCCCACGUGAAGAACUGCCUGUGGUGCUGGAAAUAACCAACACGGAGCUGUAAACUUACGGAGGCAGAUGAUAGAGUCAUAGAAUGGCCUGGGUUGGAAGGCAUCAUCCGAAUCCAACCCAGGUUAGAAGGGCCCUUGCAGCACCCCCAGCCCCACCCCCAACAUGGGCUGGUUGCCCCCCAGCUCAGGCUGACCAGGGCCCAUCCAUGGCCUUGGGCAUCUCCAGGGAUGGGGCAGCACAGCUCUGGACAGCACUGCCAGCACCUCACCACCCUCCCUGCAUGGAUGGAGGAUGGCUCACAUGAAUUGUCACAGGCAGAGGCAGCAGGAGCACUUUGUAGCUCUGAAGCAGUCCCGCCAGGUGCCACGGCUCUGUGCCUGCAAACCAGGCACCUGGAACAGCCCUGCAGGAGAAGGGUGGGAGCAGUGAGGUGUGUGUAUCCCACCGCCCCUCAGCCAGCAGUGUGGGGCACAGGGCAGCCACAGCUCCGCAGCGGGGCUGGAGGAAGUCCUGCACUCAUAAAUGUUUCAUUGCACUUCUGAAAAACAGACGGCCACUUUUUAGCAGUCUAUGAAACAAUAUUGUAAACAGUUCAACUAUUCUCCCCUCUGGUGCUGGGAUCUGUGAGAACAAUGCGCAUUCAGGGACAGAGCUCUCUGCCUUGGCUGAUCGCUGAUCGCCAGCACAGGCGCGGCGCGACCCACUGCUCCGCUGCCACCAGGAAGGGACAUCGGGGCUGCAUGGACAGACAUGGCUGUAAGGUGCUUCAUGAGAGCAACCAGGGCGAGCUCGGAGGAGUCCGCUCAGACAGCGCGGUCACUACAGGCAUCCAGAUGAGUAUCCACCACCCAGGGCAGUUUAAUCUCAAAUUCCUCACAAAGCAGCUAUGCACGCCAUACAACAUUCAUUGCCCGCAUUCCUUCCCAGACCACCUCUGCUCUGUGCCCUACAUGUGGUACCAACAACUCCCAUUUGGACAACCUGCGGAGCCCUCCACCAACCCCACCGACCACACUGCAGUGCCAAUGGCUGAGCUGAGACUCUCUUCCCAGGAAAAUGUUUGUAAAAAUAAUUUGCUAUAAUUAGAAAAACACUUCAUUGAGAACUCAUUACUGGAAGCCCAUCCUGCAGCUCAGCACUGGGAAGGCCUGGGACACAUUAUGGGUCAGCUGAGAACCACCGCGAUGCCGAAGUUUGUUUCAGAAGAAUUAUUUUGGAGCUCUGGCUCCUCGCAUCCAAUGCACAUGUGACGUUUGUUAUGUGAC
ensembl:lncRNA